UAUAAGUACAUUUUUUGAAACUGCGAACGGCUCAUUAGAGCUUAUAUAAAGUUUUCGGCUGCCUUUUAGGCUAUCUUCGACAAAUUGAAGCUAAUACAUGCGACCAAUGUCCUCCUUGGAGGGCGCAAUAUUAGAACUACUGGCUUGCCGGCGGUUGAUUUCAAUUAUCGUUUUAUAUCGGAAGGCGACUUCCGAUGGCCGUAAACUGUGUACGCCCUAUCACCCAGCAGGUUAAUCAUUCGCUAACCAGGGGUAUUACGGGUAACGGAGAACUAGGGUUCGUCUCCGGAGAAGAAGCCUUUGAAAGGCUACUACAUCCAAGGAAGGCAGCAGGCGCGUAACUUAUCCACUACCACAGUGAGAUAGUAACUAGUCUUAACUAUUGACUGAUCUUUUAGGUUAGUCAUGGUCCAUGAGUUGAGCCUAAA
rnacentral:rRNA from 1 species